rnacentral:rRNA from 1 species
AGAGUUUGAUCAUGGCUCAGAUUGAACGCUGGCGGCAUGCCUUACACAUGCAAGUCGAACGGCAGCAUGAUCUAGCUUGCUAGAUUGAUGGCGAGUGGCGAACGGGUGAGUAAUACAUCGGAACGUGCCCUGUAGUGGGGGAUAACUAGUCGAAAGAUUAGCUAAUACCGCAUACGACCUGAGGGUGAAAGUGGGGGACCGCAAGGCCUCAUGCUAUAGGAGCGGCCGAUGUCUGAUUAGCUAGUUGGUGAGGUAAAGGCUCACCAAGGCGACGACCAGUAGCUGGUCUGAGAGGACGAUCAGCCACACUGGGACUGAGACACGGCCCAGACUCCUACGGGAGGCAGCAGUGGGGAAUUUUGGACAAUGGGCGAAAGCCUGAUCCAGCAAUGGCCGCGUGUGUGAAGAAGGCCUUCGGGUUGUAAAGCACUUUUGUCCGGAAAGAAAUGGCUCUGGUUAAUACCUGGGGUCGAUGACGGUACCGGAAGAAUAAGGACCGGCUAACUACGUGCCAGCAGCCGCGGUAAUACGUAGGGUCCAAGCGUUAAUCGGAAUUACUGGGCGUAAAGCGUGCGCAGGCGGUUGUGCAAGACCGAUGUGAAAUCCCCGAGCUUAACUUGGGAAUUGCAUUGGUGACUGCACGGCUAGAGUGUGUCAGAGGGGGGUAGAAUUCCACGUGUAGCAGUGAAAUGCGUAGAGAUGUGGAGGAAUACCGAUGGCGAAGGCAGCCCC